rnacentral:rRNA from 1 species
GGUUACAGCCUUGCUGAAUUAUUCACCCUUGUCUUUUGCGUACUUCUUGUUUCCUUGGUGGGUUCGCCCACCACUAGGACAAACAUAAACCUUUUGUAAUUGCAAUCAGCGUCAGUAACAAAUUAAUAAUUACAACUUUCAACAACGGAUCUCUUGGUUCUGGCAUCGAUGAAGAACGCAGCGAAAUGCGAUAAGUAGUGUGAAUUGCAGAAUUCAGUGAAUCAUCGAAUCUUUGAACGCACAUUGCGCCCUUUGGUAUUCCAAAGGGCAUGCCUGUUCGAGCGUCAUUUGUACCCUCAAGCUUUGCUUGGUGUUGGGCGUCUUGUCUCUAGCUUUGCUGGAGACUCGCCUUAAAGUAAUUGGCAGCCGGCCUACUGGUUUCGGAGCGCAGCACAAGUCGCACUCUCUAUCAGCAAAGGUCUAGCAUCCAUUAAGCCUUUUUUUCAACUUUUGACCUCGGAUCAGGUAGGGAUACCCGCUGAACUUAAGCAUAUCAAUA